GAAAGGCCUGUGGCAGGACAAGUCACAGAAGACAGCCCCCGGAGUUCUGCUUCGUGCUUCAGUGGAAAUGGACACGGGGACUUUGGGCCAACCAGAAGAGCCCUAGGCCCAGAAAAGAAUGAAUGGACCUCCUACAGCCUGACCUCUGAUCCUGCAGCUACUGAGGAUGCAGAGUCCCCAAGAGGAGCUCCCGAGGGACUCAGCACCUGUGACAGCCAGGAAUCACCGGCCGAGACCACUGAUCUCCACCACCACUGGAUAGGACAGUGAGGUCCCCCCAAGGAAUGGCCUCCAUUUCUCUGUUGUGGCACCCACCUGACUUAUCCUCUGCCACCCCACCUCGCUCAGUUAGGGACGCUGAGGUCUGACAGUAUCAUCUGGGGGUUAAGAAGCCAGGGCCGGAGACCAAGUCAGCAGAGGGAGAGCUAAGAAAAAAUCUUUCCAGAGUAAAGGGGGAUGGAGGGAAGCCCAGCUGCAGGCAGGACAGAGCUGGAAGGAGGCGGAAUGGGGGCAUCUCAGGGAGGGGGCGCUGGAAACCGCCUUCCAGCUGAGGAAGCAGGGGAACCAGGCAGAAGGAACUUUUGGCCAGGAGGCUGGACCAAGUGACCUCGCCCAAACUCUGGUCUGCUGCUGUUGCAACCUGGCCAGUCUCCCAGCCCUCCUGGGUCCCUAAGCAGGAGAGCUUUUUAUAGCCACUCCCCGACUUGGGUUUGAAUAAUUAAACAAGAUGGACAGAAAUAGCAGCGGACAGUGAAGGCGGGUUAUUUUGGGGUUUUCUGGAACACAGUGCUCCUGGGUGUCACCCCACCCCUGCAGAGGGCGGGGCCAGCAUCAAGGCUGCCGGGAGAUUCCUGCGGGGGAAACCCACCCCGCACCCCUAAGGUUUCUUGGGUUGACAGAGUUCUCUCUCUGCCAGAGGAGGGUCCUGCCACUUCUUCCUCCCAAGGAAGAGAGGGCUCCAGCUGCCUUCUGAUCCUAGCUGUUCCCUGGCAGGAAGUGCCUUCUGUUGUCUGUCAGGUCUUCUACUUCUGAGAUGGUGAAAGAUAUUUACAAUCAGAUCGAUAAGCAGCUGCAAGACAGGCUGAACCAGGAGGAUGGGGCCACUGCUCCCAUGGCCAAGGAGCUGGAAUCAGGUGAUAGGAGGUCGUAUCCCCUCCCCCACUUAUGCCCACUGGGAAGCCUCAGAG
rnacentral:lncRNA from 1 species